GAUAUGCAAGUCGAGCGUGGUUCUGAUCGCAAGAUUGGAAUCUAGCGGCGGACGGCUGAGUAAUAUAUAGGUAUCUGCCUCUUUCUGAAGGAUAGCUCGCCGAAAGGCGGGAUAAUACUUCAUGUCCCCUCACGGGAAAAGGACGUAACUGUUCGGAAAGAGAUGAGCCUGUAUUCUAUCAGGUAGUUGGUAGGGUAAUGGCCUACCAAGCCUAUGACGGAUAGCUGGUCUAAGAGGAUGUCCAGCCAGAGGGGGACUGAGACACGGCCCCCACUCCUACGGGAGGCAGCAAUCAGGAAUAGUCGGCAAUGGGCGAAAGCCUGACCGUGCGACACCGUGUGCGGGAAGAAGGUCUUAACGAUCGUAAACCGCUGUGGUAGGGGAAGAAGUCUCGACGUAAGUCGGGGUUGACGGUACCCUAUUAGAAAGGAGCCGCUAACUGCGUGCCAGAAGCGUCGGUAAUACGUGGGCUUCAAGCGUUAUCCGGUUUUAUUGGGCGUAAAGGGUCGUGUAGGUGGUUUGAUAAGUUAUCUCUUAAAUUUUCUCGCUCAACGAGGAGCAUGGGGAUAAUACUAUCAAGCUAGAGUUUUCUUUAGGGAGACUGGAACUUAGGGAGGAGUAGUGAAAUGCGUUGAUACCCUAGGGAACACCAGUGGCGAAGGCGAGUCUCUGGAAGGAAACUGACACUGAGACACGAAAGCUAGGGGAGCGAAGCAGAUUAGAGACCUGCGUAGUCCUAGCCCUAAACGAAUGUCUGCUGGCUGCAUGUCGUCCUUUUGGAUGACGUGUGGCGAAGCUAACCCGUUAAGCAGACCGCCUGGGGAGUACGACCGCAAGGUUAAAACUCAAAGGAAUUGGCGGGGAGGCACACAAGCAGU
rnacentral:rRNA from 1 species